rnacentral:piRNA from 1 species
UGUUUAAACGGAAAGCACGGUGAAGGC